rnacentral:rRNA from 1 species
AGAGUUUGAUCAUGGCUCAGAAUGAACGCUGGCGGCAUGCCUAACACAUGCAAGUCGAACGAAGGCUUCGGCCUUAGUGGCGCACGGGUGCGUAACGCGUGGGAAUCUGCCCUCAGGUUCGGAAUGACAGCGAGAAAUUGCUGCUAAUACCGGAUGAUAUCGCGAGAUCAAAGAUAUAUCGCCUGAGGAUGAGCCCGCGUAGGAUUAGCUAGUUGGUGUGGUAAAGGCGCACCAAGGCGACGAUCCUUAGCUGGUCUGAGAGGAUGAUCAGCCACACUGGGACUGAGACACGGCCCAGACUCCUACGGGAGGCAGCAGUGGGGAAUAUUGGACAAUGGGCGAAAGCCUGAUCCAGCAAUGCCGCGUGAGUGAUGAAGGCCUUAGGGUUGUAAAGCUCUUUUACCCGGGAUGAUAAUGACAGUACCGGGAGAAUAAGCUCCGGCUAACUCCGUGCCAGCAGCCGCGGUAAUA